CCUACGGGGGGCAGCAGUGAGGAAUAUUGGUCAAUGGGCGCGAGCCUGAACCAGCCAAGUCGCGUGAGGGAGGACGGCCCUACGGGUUGUAAACCUCUUUUGCCGGGGAGCAACGGGCGUCACGUGUGGCGCCACUGAGAGUACCCGGAGAAAAAGCAUCGGCUAACUCCGUGCCAGCAGCCGCGGUAAUACGGAGGAUGCGAGCGUUAUCCGGAUUUAUUGGGUUUAAAGGGUGCGUAGGCGGAUCGUUAAGUCAGUGGUCAAAUUGAGGGGCUCAACCCCUUCCCGCCAUUGAAACUGGCGCU
rnacentral:rRNA from 1 species